rnacentral:tRNA from 3 species
GGGCGGGUACCGAAGUGGCCAAACGGGGCUGACUGUAAAUCAGCUGGCAUACGCCUACGGCGGUUCGAAUCCGUCCCCGCCCACCU